rnacentral:rRNA from 1 species
GUUAAGUGACUAAGCGUACAAGGUGGAUGCCUUGGCAAUCAGAGGCGAAGAAGGACGUGCUAAUCUGCGAAAAGCUUGGAUGAGUCGAUAAGAGGCGUUUAAUCCAAGAUAUCCGAAUGGGGAAACCCAGUAGAUGAAGAAUCUACUAUCAACAAGUGAAUUCAUAGCUUGUUGAGGCAAACCGGGAGAACUGAAACAUCUAAGUACCCCGAGGAAAAGAAAUCAACCGAGAUUUCGUCAGUAGUGGCGAGCGAAAGCGAAAGAGCCAGUAAGUGAUAGCAGUAUAGUUAGGAGAAUGUGUUGGGAAGCACAAUCAAAGAGGGUGAUAAUCCCGUAUCUAAAAACUAUAUUGUGGUACUAAGCUAACGAGAAGUAGGGCGGGACACGUGAUAUCCUGUUUGAAGAAGGGGGGCCCAUCCUCCAAGGCUAAAUACUCCUGAUUGACCGAUAGUGAACCAGUACUGUGAAGGAAAGGCGAAAAGAACCCCGGUGAGGGGAGUGAAAUAGAACCUGAAACCUUGUACGUACAAGCAGUGGGAGCGAGGGCAACCUUGUGACUGCGUACCUUUUGUAUAAUGGGUCAGCGACUUAUAUUUUGUAGCGAGGUUAACCGAAUAGGGGAGCCGAAGGGAAACCGAGUCUUAACUGGGCGAAUAGUUGCAAGGUAUAGACCCGAAACCCGGUGAUCUAGCCAUGGGCAGGUUGAAGGUUGGGUAACACUAACUGGAGGACCGAACCGACUAAUGUUGAAAAAUUAGCGGAUGACUUGUGGCUGGGGGUGAAAGGCCAAUCAAACCGGGAGAUAGCUGGUUCUCCCCGAAAUCUAUUUAGGUAGAGCCUUGAGGUGACACCUUUGGGGGUAGAGCACUGUUUCGGCUAGGGGUCCAUCCCGGAUUACCAACCCGAUGCAAACUACGAAUACCAAAGAGUGAUACUCAGGAGACACACGGCGGGUGCUAACGUCCGUCGUGGAGAGGGAAACAACCCAGACCGCCAGCUAAGGUCCCCAAGUCUAUAUUAAGUGGGAAACGAAGUGGGAAGGCUUAGACAGCUAGGAUGUUGGCUUAGAAGCAGCCAUCAUUUAAAGAAAGCGUAAUAGCUCACUAGUCGAGUCGGCCUGCGCGGAAGAUGUAACGGGGCUGAAAUAUAGCACCGAAGCUGCGGCAUCAGACGAAAGUCUGUUGGGUAGGGGAGCGUUCUGUAAGCGGAUGAAGGUUAAUUGAGAGGUUAGCUGGACGUAUCAGAAGUGCGAAUGCUGACAUAAGUAACGAUAAAACGGGUGAAAAACCCGUUCGCCGGAAGACCAAGGGUUCCUGUCCAACGUUAAUCGGGGCAGGGUGAGUCGGCUCCUAAGGCGAGGCUGAAAAGCGUAGUCGAUGGGAAACAGGUUAAUAUUCCUGUACUUGGUAAAGCUGCGAUGUGGGGACGGAGUAGGUUAGGUUAUCGCACUGUUGGAUAUGUGCGUUUAAGUUGGUAGGUGGGAAGUUUAGGCAAAUCCGGACUUCCUUAACACAGAGAGAUGAUGACGAGGCUCUACGGAGCUGAAGUAACUGAUACCACACUUCCAGGAAAAGCCACUAAGCGAAAGGCUUUACUAAACCGUACUGAAAACCGACACAGGUGGUCAGGUAGAGAAUACUCAGGCGCUUGAGAGAACUCGGGUGAAGGAACUAGGCAAAAUAGCACCGUAACUUCGGGAGAAGGUGCGCCGGCGUAGAUUGUAAGGGCUAGCCCCUGAAGGUUGAACCGGUCGAAGUGACCCGCUGGCUGCAACUGUUUAUUAAAAACACAGCACUCUGCAAACACGAAAGUGGACGUAUAGGGUGUGAUGCCUGCCCGGUGCUGGAAGGUUAAUUGAUGGUGUCAUCGAAAGAGAAGCACCUGAUCGAAGCCCCAGUAAACGGCGGCCGUAACUAUAACGGUCCUAAGGUAGCGAAAUUCCUUGUCGGGUAAGUUCCGACCUGCACGAAUGGCAUAAUGAUGGCCAGGCUGUCUCCACCCGAGACUCAGUGAAAUUGAAAUCGCCGUGAAGAUGCGGUGUACCCGCGGCUAGACGGAAAGACCCCGUGAACCUUUACUAUAGCUUGACACUGAACAUUGAAUUUUGAUGUGUAGGAUAGGUGGGAGACUUAGAAGCAGUCACGCCAGUGAUUGUGGAGUCAUCCUUGAAAUACCACCCUUUAACGUUUGAUGUUCUAACGAAGAUUGCGGAACGCGGUCUCGGACAGUGUCUGGUGGGUAGUUUGACUGGGGCGGUCUCCUCCCAAAGCGUAACGGAGGAGCACGAAGGUUUGCUAAUCACGGUCGGACAUCGUGAGGUUAGUGCAAUGGUAUAAGCAAGCUUAACUGCGAGACAGACAAGUCGAGCAGGUACGAAAGUAGGUCAUAGUGAUCCGGUGGUUCUGAAUGGAAGGGCCAUCGCUCAACGGAUAAAAGGUACUCCGGGGAUAACAGGCUGAUACCGCCCAAGAGUUCAUAUCGACGGCGGUGUUUGGCACCUCGAUGUCGGCUCAUCACAUCCUGGGGCUGAAGUAGGUCCCAAGGGUAUGGCUGUUCGCCAUUUAAAGUGGUACGCGAGCUGGGUUUAGAACGUCGUGAGACAGUUCGGUCCCUAUCUGCCGUGGGCGUAGGAGAAUUGGUUGGGGCUGCUCCUAGUACGAGAGGACCGGAGUGGACGCACCACUGGUGUUCCGGUUGUGUCGCCAGACGCAUUGCCGGGUAGCUAAGUGCGGAAGAGAUAAGUGCUGAAAGCAUCUAAGCACGAAACUUGCCAAGAGAUGAGUUCUCCCAAUCUAAGAGAUAGUAAGGGUUGUUGUAGACUACGACGUAGAUAGGUCUGGUGUGUAAGUGUAGUGAUACAUUGAGCUAACAGAUACUAAUUGCCCGAGAGGCUUAGC